UGGGGAAUUUUGGACAAUGGGCGAAAGCCUGAUCCAGCAAUGCCGCGUGUGUGAAGAAGGCCUUCGGGUUGUAAAGCACUUUUGUCCGGAAAGAAAUCCUUGGCUCUAAUACAGUCGGGGGAUGACGGUACCGGAAGAAUAAGCACCGGCUAACUACGUGCCGCAGCCGCGGUAAUACGUAGGGUGCAAGCGUUAAUCGGAAUUACUGGGCGUAAAGCGUGCGCAGGCGGUUUGCUAAGACCGAUGUGAAAUCCCCGGGCUCAACCUGGGAACUGCAUUGGUGACUGGCAGGCUAGAGUAUGGCAGAGGGGGGUAGAAUUCCACGUGUAGCAGUGAAAUGCGUAGAGAUGUGGAGGAAUACCGAUGGCGAAGGCAGCCCCCUGGGCCAAUACUGACGCUCAUGCACGAAAGCGUGGGGAGCAAACAGGAUUAGAUACCCUGGUAGUCCACGCCCUAAACGAUGUCAACUAGUUGUUGGGGAUUCAUUUCCUUAGUAACGUAGCUAACGCGUGAAGUUGACCGCCUGGGGAGUACGGUCGCAAGAUUAAAACUCAAAUGAAUUGACGGGGUCAUAGCUGUUUCCU
rnacentral:rRNA from 1 species